AGUGAACGCUGGCGGUAGGCCUAACACAUGCAAGUCGAACGGCAGCACAGUAAGAGCUUGCUCUUACGGGUGGCGAGUGGCGGACGGGUGAGGAAUACAUCGGAAUCUACUUUUUCGUGGGGGAUAACGUAGGGAAACUUACUCUAAUACCGCAUACGACCUACGGGUGAAAGCAGGGGAUCUUCGGACCUUUCGCGAUUGAAUGAGCCGAUGUCGGAUUAGCUAGUUGGCGGGGUAAAGGCCCACCAAGGCGACGAUCCGUAGCUGGUCUGAGAGGAUGAUCGGCCACACUGGAACUGGGACACGCUCCAGACUCCUACGGGAGGCAGCAGUGGGGAAUAUUGGACAAUGGGCGCAAGCCUGAUCCAGCCAUACCGCGUGGGUGACGAAGGCCUUCGGGUUGUAAAGCCCUUUUGUUGGGAAAGAAAAGCAGCAGGUUAAUACCCCGCUGUUCUGACGGUACCCAAAGAAUAAGCACCGGCUAACUUCGUG
rnacentral:rRNA from 1 species